UUAGAACCCCUUUAUAUUAUCUUGUCCAUGAUUGAAAAUUGGAAAAACUGAAAUAGUAUUUCAGAAAAUGCUGCAGCCUAUAAAUAAAGGAAUCUUCACCUACUUAAUUUUCAACCAAAAUCCACUUUUUCACGGUGAAUACUGUAUUUCGCCAUUGCACUCCCAAUGAUCAAUAUUUGAUAUAUCCCAGUUAUAUGGACCAAGAAUAUACUAUAUGCAUCUGGGAGGGUUAAAUUUUGCCACUGUUGUUCAUCACACAAGUUCAUUAACGAUGGAGGGGCAAAUUAGGUGAUACAGAAGACUCAACUCGUACCACAGAUUACAAACCAAAUUUGCUUCUCCAAUUUUUAUGAGGCUGCAAGUCUAUUAAAAAUGCUGAAAUCACGUUUACAUCUAUAAAUCAAUGGGUCAGAACCCUCAACUUAAGAAAACAGUUACCUAUAAUAGCUAUGAAAUCGACUUCUUAGAAAGGUGAGAAUGAUUAGCAACUUGUCUCCGCCAUUGAUGAAUCGGAACAGCAGGGAAGCCACCAUAAUCCCCAGGCUCUGUUAUAUCCUUGGUAACACAACUAUUAGCAGCCAGCCGGACCUUUGAUGUGAUAGAGGCAUGAUCACGAACUGCUACCCUUCCCCCUAAAGUAACAUAGUCUCCUAUCCUAAACAAGAACAGACAGGUAAAAAGAUAUAAAUUAGCGUUACUUAAAGCACCAUAAAAUCUAUAAAACAGAAAUUCAAAACAGUUAAAUGGAUAUCUGAAGGACCCACAAGAAAAGGCAUAGUUAAAAAUGAUUUAGAAGCGACAUACGUCACAGAACCUGCAAUUCCAACUUGUCCACAAAGCAAGCAACUCUUUCCAAUAACUACAUUAUGACCAAUCUGCAAAGCCCACAAUUAUUUCAUAACAAUAAGUAAACCAUCAAACAACAAUGCAAAGGAACAGAAUCUCACUUGGACUAAAUUGUCUAUCUUUGAAUGAUCACCAAUAACCGUGUCUCUCCAGCUGCAAUUCAAAUAGGUGCAUACUUAGCACUCCAUGUUAAAUAUGACAGUGUCCAAGUGCAAGUUAGUUUACUGUGUAGCAUUCACAUAGUUUACUGUAUAGCAUUCGCAUAUAAGUGACAACUUGAAAAUUUUAAGCUAAACACUCCUCACCUGCCUCUAUCAAUGCAUGUAUUUGCUCCAAUCUCUACAUGAUUCCCUAUCUUAGCAUUCAGCAGCUGCAUAAUAGACAAAAUAAUAUCUUUUAGCCAAGAUCUAAAACAGAACUAAAUAUCUGGGGCAUUGUUUUGGUAUCUCCAAAUGGGAGAAGAAAAACACAAUUGAUUGAGGGUUAGCAAUUCUGUCCAGAAGUGAAUCAUUAAAAAAAAAUAACAAAAAGUCAGUAGAACAACAUUUGGGUUUCAACUGAGGAAAAUGUUAAAAGCCAAACGAGUAUAGAAGUUCAACACAGAAACGUCUCAAAAUUAUAUCUUGGACACCCAAUGCAUCACAAUUUAUGAAGCAGUCCUUAACUCUAAAUGAUUCUCAGUUUGCUUUUACGAGUGAAGCAAAGAAAGAGAACAAAAUUAAUUGUGCCUUGAAAACUAAAAGAUAUCACCAACUUGAGGCUUCUUCAUCAUGCUUCCCUGCUCAUCCACAGAAAAACCAAAUCCAUCUUGACCGAUGCACACUCCAUUGUGGAUUAGACAAGAAUCACCUAUAGUGCAAUUGCUAAGUGAAACAUUAUACCCUAUCUUUGUAGAUUGACCGACAGUAACAGCAGGUCCAAUAACGGUUCCUGAUCCAACAUGAACAUUCGCAUCCAGUACAGCUUUGGAAUGAACUAUAGAACCGAUUUCUAUAAUUGCUGUUGGGUCGACACGAGCUGAUUUGUGGAAAGUUCCACCACCAUUAUGCCAUCUUGAAAACUCAUGGUGAUUUGUUCGAGCACCAUCAAUUUGAGUAACCGAAGGCACCGAGCACUGGUAACGGAUAGCGCCAAGCAAUACACAUAAACCGCGAACAUGUUCGACAAAUGGGUUCAGUGGAUUGAGAUAGGAAAAGAGAUUGGAGGCGCCGAUAGAGGAUAAUCUGUUGGCAGAAAUCGCCGUUGCCAACAUUAUUAGCAGUAGCCGGAGAAAGGCUUUGAAGGGAGGAUCUUCGUUUCCUUAGUUUUGAAUGGACAGAAUCUACACAACAUAGAAUGUCCAACUUACAAGAAGGAAUGAAGAAAUCAGCCAGCAAACAGAACAGUGGCGAUCCAAACAAAAGAAAUUUUUUUAUGUCUAAAUUUUCAAUUUCA
rnacentral:misc_RNA from 1 species